AACAGUGGGCUUUUUCAGUUCAGACCAAUGAAGAUCUCCAUGCAGUUAUUGAACAUCAGUCAGUGUCUUUUCCUAUGGUUACAUGGAUCUUAACUUUGGGACUUUAACAGAAGCAGGCGCCAGCAAAGUGAAAAAGAGUAAUUUGAGAAGAGAACGCACGUUUGUCCAUAUUGCAAAGAAAUGCAAGUACUGGCAGUGCAUCAGAUGGAGAGAUUGAAAAGUUAAUCAAAGAUGGCUGCUGCUCACUUUGGACAGAGAUGGGGGAAGAAAAGAGUGGGCCCGAAUGCAAACAAAUUCUUCCAAAGGGUACACUUACUUGAGGAAGCUCCUGGAGUUUUUUUUUUCUUUUUUUCAAAUAAAUUCUAAUAUCACUCA